rnacentral:rRNA from 1 species
CAGCCCUAAACGAUGCGCGUUAGGUGUAUCGGUGACCACGAGUCACCGAGGUGCCGAGGGGAAACCGUGAAACGUGCCGCCUGGGAAGUACGGUCGCAAGGCUGAAACUUAAAGGAAUUGGCGGGGGAGCACCACAACGGGUGGAGCUUGCGGUUUAAUUGGAUUCAACGCCGGAAAUCUUACCGGGACCGACAGCAACAUGAAGGCCAGGCUGAAGACUUUGCCGGAUUAGCUGAGAGGAGGUGCAUGGCGUGUGACUGU